rnacentral:rRNA from 1 species
CACGGUCCAGGCUCCUACGGGAGGCAGCAGUGGGGAAUAUUGCGCAAUGGGCGAAAGCCUGACGCAGCGACGCCGCGUGGGGGAUGAAGCUUCUCGGAGUGUAAACCCCUUUCGACCCGGACGAAUGACCCGCAAGGGUUUGACGGUACGGGUAUAGGAAGCCCCGGCUAACUACGUGCCAGCAGCCGCGGUAAUACGUAGGGGGCCAGCGUUGCUCGGAAUUACUGGGCGUAAAGGGUUCGUAGGUGGUGCGGUAAGUUGGGAGUGAAAUCUCUGGGCUUAACUCAGGGGCUGCUUUCAAAACUGCCGUGCUCGAGUGCGAGAGAGGUCAGUGGAAUUGCAGGUGUAGCGGUGAAAUGCGUAGAUAUCUGCAGGAACACCCGUGGCGAAGGCGGCUGACUGGAUCGCAACUGACACUGAGGAACGAAAGCUAGGGGAGCAAACAGGAUUAGAUACCCUGGUAGUCCUAGCCCUAAACCAUCAGAACUUGGGGUGGCCCGCGUAGGCGGGUCGUCCCGUAGCUAACGCGUUAAGUUCUGCGCCUGGGGAGUACGGUCGCAAGACUGAAACUCAAAGGAAUUGACGGGGGCCCGCACAAGCGGUGGAACAUGUGGUUCAAUUCGACGCAACGCGAAGAACCUUACCUGGGCUUGAACCGCUACUGACCAACGGUAGAAAUAUCGUCUUCUCGCAAGAGACAGUAGUAGAGGUGCUGCAUGGCUGUCGUCAGCUCGUGCCGUGAGGUGUUGGGUUAAGUCCCGCAACGAGCGCAACCCUUACUCGUAGUUGCUACCCGCAAGGGAGAACUCUACGAGGACUGCUCCGGAUAACGGAGAGGAAGGUGGGGAUGACGUCAAGUCAGCACGGCCUUUAUGUCCAGGGCUACACACGUGUUACAAUGCAUGGUACAGACUGUUGCGAACCCGCGAGGGGGAGCUAAUCGGCCAAAGCCAUGCUCAGUUCGGAUUGCAGUCUGCAACUCGGCUGCAUGAAGCUGGAAUCGCUAGUAAUGGCGUAUCAGAUCGACGCCGUGAAUACGUUCCCGGGCCUUGUACACACCGCCCGUCACAUCACGAAAGUGAGCUGUACUAGAAGUCGCCGAGCCAACCUAACGGAGGCCAGCGCCCAAGGUAUGGCCCAUGAUUGGGGUGAAGUCGUAACAAGGUAGCCGUAGGAGAACCUGUGGCUGGAUCACCUCCUUA